rnacentral:lncRNA from 1 species
UUCUGGCCCUGCCAGUGUCUCCGCCGGUUGAAAGCGCGUGUCUGCGUCGGGUUCUGUUGGAGUGCGUUCGGUGCGCCGUGGGUCCGCGCUGCUUCCACCCAACUUCCUGUUAGUUUCUCUCCUGUCACAAUGGCAUGAUCUCGGCUCACUGCGACCUCUGCUUCCUGGGUUCAAGGAUUCUCCUGCCUCAGCCUCCCAAGUAGCUGGGAUUACAGUUUCCAUCAUUAUCUUCUAUGGAGUUCUUCAUUCCCACAUCUGUGGACCUUAAAAUCCUACCGUUGAGUGCCUGCCUUGGAUCAGCAGUCAGUUCGUUACCUUGGUUCUCAGACGAUGCUUGCAACAACGCCAUGCGAUUCGCCCACUCUUGGGUUACAUUAGUUAUACACUCUGGAGGUGACUUGACCUGUCAUUGUGAACAAUUAUUGCUCUUGGACGACCCAGGACAUAGGCCAGCCAGUACGUACCCCAGUGUGUUGGAGAAUCGCGCUCGGCUUCUUCCUCUGUGCUGAGUCAUGAAAGUUGCCGGAGCAGGUGCAGUUACACAACCUCCAGACAUCUAGGCUUGCUGUCAAGGCUUCUGAUCAACAUGAGAUGACCGCCGUGUGGUAAACUGAUGAACCCUGACCCUGAUCAACAUGAGAUGACCGCCGUGUGGUAAA